rnacentral:misc_RNA from 1 species
UCCGGUUUGUCACCGGCAGUCUCAUUAGAGUGCCCAACUGAAUGUAGCAACUAAUGACAAGGGUUGCGCUCGUUGCGGGACUUAACCCAACAUCUCACGACACGAGCUGACGACAGCCAUGCAGCACCUGUGUUCCAGUUCCCUUUCGGGCACAGCCGCCUUUCAGCAGCCUUCCGGACAUGUCAAGGGUAGGUAAGGUUUUUCGCGUUGCAUCGAAUUAAUCCACAUAAUCCACCGCUUGUGCGGGUCCCCGUCAAUUCCUUUGAGUUUUAGCCUUGCGGCCGUACUCCCCAGGCGGGGCACUUAAUGCGUUAGCUUCGGCACGGAGGGAGUCGACACCCCCCACACCUAGUGCCCAUCGUUUACAGCGUGGACUAC